GACGAACGCUGGCGGCGUGCUUAACACAUGCACGUCGAACGAGAACGGGUUAUAGCUUGCUAUAAUUGUCAGCUAAGUGGCGCACGGGUGAGUAAUGCAUAGGUAAUAUGCCUCUUACUAAGGGAUAACAAAUGGAAACGUUUGCUAAUACCUUAUACUCCUUAUUAACAGAAGUUAAUAAGGGAAAGAUUUAUUGGUAAGAGAUUAGCCUGUAUUGUAUCAGUUAGUUGGUGGGGUAAUGGCUUACCAAGACUAUGACACAUAACUGGUUUGAGAGGAUGAGCAGUCACACUGGAACUGAGACACGGUCCAGACUCCUACGGGAGGCAGCAGUGGGGAAUAUUGCACAAUUGACGAAAGUCUGAUGCAGCAACGCCGCGUGGAGGAUGACACAUUUCGGUGCGUAAACUCCUUUUAUAUGAGAAGAUAAUGACGGUAUUAUAUGAAUAAGCACCGGCUAACUCCGUGCCAGCAGCCGCCGUAA
rnacentral:rRNA from 1 species